rnacentral:rRNA from 1 species
GACGAACGCUGGCGGCGUGCCUAAUACAUGCAAGUAGCACGCAGUUGCGAACGGGUGAGUAACGCGUAGGUAACUGCCUGGUAGCGGGGGAUAACUAUUGGAAACGAUAGCUAAUACCGCAUACUACCAGAUGGACCUGCGUUGUAUUAGCUAGUUGGUGAGGUAACGGCCCACCAAGGCAACGAUACAUAGCCGGCCUGAGAUGGUGAGCGGGCAAACUGGGACUGGGACACGGCCCAGACUCCUACGGGAGGCAGCAGUAGGGAAACUUCGGCAAUGGGGGGAACCCUGGCCGAGCAAAGCCGCGUGAGUGAAGAAGGUUUUCGGAGCGUAAAGCUCUGUUGUUAAGGAAGCGGUACUUAACCAGAAAGGAUCGGCUAACUCCGUGCCAGCAGCCGCGGUAAUUC